rnacentral:lncRNA from 1 species
GUACCGGUAACUCCUGUAUAUAGCCUCGUUAUUGUUAUGUAAUUGUAUUGUGUAACUUUUUAUUUUAUUUUUUACUUUAGUUUAUUUAGUAAAUAUUUUCUUAACUCUAUUUCUUGAACUGCUUCUUUGGUUAAGAGCUUGUAAGUAAGCAUGUGACAAAUAACAUUUGAUUUGAUUCUGCAGUUUUACCAAAACGUCUCUCUGUUGUACAGCCGGCUGACUAAGACUGACAUGGAGCUGGAGGUGCUGCGAUACACUAACCGGAUUUCCAGUGAAGCCCAUAAAGAGGGAGGAUGUUUUAUUCUGGAGCCCCUAUAUUCUGUCUCCAGCUGAGGGAUGAAGAUGUGCGCCCUGUCCCAAGGCCUCCCCAGUCUUAUCAAUCUGACUAGAGGAGGGCUGUGUAGACGUUUGAUCCUUGGUCCUGCUUGAUGAGAAGGCGGUGUGCAGAAAGAUGUUAAAGGCUCUGGGCUGGGGAAUACUGACACUGUAUUAACUUGAUGUAGUGUAUUAUAACAGGAUCCAGAUGUGACGUUGUCCCACUUCCACUUGGAGCUCUUGCACUAAGUCAAUAUGGAUGGAGCUAGGAGGAUUCAGUGACACGUUUGGCUGCAGUGUCCUUCACUGUUGUUUUCCCAUUCCACUGCUCGCUCUGAUGAUGUAAUUUGUCAUCAUAGAAGAAGCUACUACAGCUCAAUGAUAAGAGCACUGCCGCAUGUUAACAUAUUUUUUUUUAUAAUGUUAUAGUUUUCUUUGUAUAAUCUUCCCUGGUUUUUUAUCCUUUUGGACAUCUGAAGGCAGCCAAACUUUUUUGUGUAUAACUAAGCAAUAAACUUCCUUCCUUCACUGGC